GGACUACCGGGGUUUCUAAUCCUGUUUGCUCCCCACGCUUUCGUGCAUCAACGUCAGAAAUGAGCCAAGAAGCUGCCUUCGCCAUCGGUGUUCCUCCCGAGAUCUACGCAUUUGACCGCUACUCCGGGAAUUCCACUUCUCUCUCUCACCCUCUAGCUUGAUAGUUUCCAUCGCACUGCUCCAGUUAGGCUGGAGUUUUUAACAACAGACUUAUCAUGCCGUCUACGCACCCUUUACGCCCAAUGAUUCCGAAUAACGUUUGCACCUCUCGUAUUACCGCGGCUGCUGGCAC
rnacentral:rRNA from 1 species